rnacentral:rRNA from 1 species
CGCACCGCUUCGGUGGUGAGUGGCGAACGGGUGAGUAAUACAUAAGUAACCUGGCCUUUCGAGGGGGAUAACUAUUGGAAACGAUAGCUAAGACCGCAUAGGCAUAAUUCUCGCAUGAGAGUUAUGUUAAAUAUCCUAUGGGAUAGCGAGAGGAUGGACUUAUGGCGCAUUAGCUAGUUGGUGAGGGUAACGGCCCACCAAGGCGACGAUGCGUAGCCGACCUGAGAGGGUGGACGGCCACACUGGGACUGAGACACGGCCCAGACUCCUACGGGAGGCAGCAGUAGGGAAUUUUCGGCAAUGGGCGAAAGCCUGACCGAGCAACGCCGCGUGAGGGAGGAAGUAUUUCGGUAUGUAAACCUCUGUUAUAAAGGAAGAACGGCGCAUGUAGGGAAUGACAUGCGAGUGACGGUACUUUAUGAGAAAGCCACGGCUAACUACGUGCCAGCAGCCGCGGUAAUACGUAGGUGGCGAGCGUUAUCCGGAAUCAUUGGGCGUAAAGAGGGAGCAGGCGGCAACUAGGGUCUGCGGUAAAAGACCGAAGCUAAACUUCGGUAAGCCGUGGAAACCGAGGAGCUAGAGUGCAGUAGAGGAUCGUGGAAUUCCAUGUGUAGCGGUGAAAUGCGUAGAUAUAUGGAGGAACACCAGUGGCGAAGGCGACGAUCUGGGCUGCAACUGACGCUCAGUCCCGAAAGCGUGGGGAGCAAAUAGGAUUAGAUACCCUAGUAGUCCACGCCGUANACGAUGAGUACUAAGUGUUGGGGGUCANACCUCAGUGCUGCAGUUAACGCAAUAAGUACUCCGCCUGAGUAGUACGUUCGCAAGAAUGAAACUCAAAGGAAUUGACGGGGGCCCGCACAAGCGGU